AUUGCUUCCUCUUUGGACACUGAUGGAAAGCUCCUUUUUUGGUUGUUUUCUUCUGCUUCAAAUACUAUUUUGGGCCUCCCGACUUUGAGUCCAUCUUGGAAACUUUUUGGGAAAGGUGCUACUGCACUCCCUCGACCCAAGUAUACAAGCUUAAGCUGGGCUCCCACUCUGUUAAGUGAAGAACGAAUUCUCGUCAUUGGGCAUGCAGAUGGAAUAGAUUUCUUAUUAGUCAAGGCUUUGAAAGCUGAAGAAUUGGAAAUGGUCUGUCA
rnacentral:misc_RNA from 1 species